rnacentral:rRNA from 1 species
UUAAUGAGAGUUUGAUCCUGGCUCAGGACGAACGCUGGCGGCGUGCCUAAUACAUGCAAGUAGAACGCUGAAGGAGGAGCUUGCUUCUCUGGAUGAGUUGCGAACGGGUGAGUAACGCGUAGGUAACCUGCCUGGUAGCGGGGGAUAACUAUUGGAAACGAUAGCUAAUACCGCAUAAGAGUAGAUGUUGCAUGACAUUUGCUUAAAAGGUGCACUUGCAUCACUACCAGAUGGACCUGCGUUGUAUUAGCUAGUUGGUGGGGUAACGGCUCACCAAGGCGACGAUACAUAGCCGACCUGAGAGGGUGAUCGGCCACACUGGGACUGAGACACGGCCCAGACUCCUACGGGAGGCAGCAGUAGGGAAUCUUCGGCAAUGGACGGAAGUCUGACCGAGCAACGCCGCGUGAGUGAAGAAGGUUUUCGGAUCGUAAAGCUCUGUUGUAAGAGAAGAACGAGUGUGAGA